rnacentral:lncRNA from 1 species
AUGAGGGUGACCAACAGAAACUGAAGAAGGCAAGAAGACGGAUUCUCCCCUCAGUGGCUACAGAAGUAACCAGCCUCGCUGACACCUCAGUUUUGAGCCUGGCUUAAAUGUCUUAGAAUAUGAGGUCACUGAAGAUUCUGGCCAAGUAUGGGGAACUGGUACAACUGUAAAGUUUUCAUGAAGGCAGAUUGGCGGCUUCUGGCUCAUUCUGCUGGAAGAUAGCCAUCAUGUAAAAAGGACAUGCAUCCUGAGAUCAUCAUGCUGUGAAAAGCCCAAGCCAUGCAGAGAGGCCCUGGCAGAUGACAUGCCACAUGGAGAUGGGGAGACCAAAGAACACAGGAUGCUAAACAUUUGAGUGGAGAAGCCAUCUUGGGAGUGGGUCCCCCAACACCGGCUCGCCCUCUGGAGACCACGUGGAUGAGUGUCAAACUGCUCAGCCAAGCAGUUUCCUGAAUCUUGACCUACAUGAUUGUGAA